GUUAGCAUGUAGGGAAUCUUCCACAAUGGGCGCAAGCCUGAUGGAGCAACACCGCGUGAGUGAAGAAGGGUUUCGGCUCGUAAAGCUCUGUUGUUGGAGAAGAACGUGCGUGAGAGUAACUGUUCACGCAGUGACGGUAUCCAACCAGAAAGUCACGGCUAACUACGUGCCAGCAGCCGCGGUAAUACGUAGGUGGCAAGCGUUAUCCGGAUUUAUUGGGCGUAAAGCGAGCGCAGGCGGUUGCUUAGGUCUGAUGUGAAAGCCUUCGGCUUAACCGAAGAAGUGCAUCGGAAACCGGCGACUGAUCCAAGGCCCC
rnacentral:rRNA from 1 species